rnacentral:rRNA from 1 species
UACAGAGGGUGCGAGCGUUGUCCGGAAUCACUGGGCGUAAAGGGCGCGUAGGUGGUGGCUUAAGCGUGCGGUGAAAGCUCGGAGCUCAACUCCGAGUCGGCCGUGCGAACUGGGCUCACUGGAGCAUAGUAGAGGCAGGUGGAAUUCCGGGUGUAGCGGUGGAAUGCGUAGAGAUCCGGAAGAACACCGGUGGCGAAGGCGGCCUGCUGGGCUAUGGCUGACACUGAGGCGCGACAGCGUGGGGAGCGAACAGG